AGGAUUUUCUUAGUAGCGGCGAGCGAAACGAAAACAGCUCAUCACUAAGUCAUUUUGUCUAUAUGACAAAUAUGAGAUGCAGUGUAUGGAACAUCUAUAAUCCAGUAUGAGAAAUUAACGGUUUAAGUCCUUCUUAAAUGAGGCCAUUUACCCAUAGAGGGUGCUAGGCCCGUAUAACGUUAAUGAUUACUGGAAGAUGAUUCCAAAGAGUCGUGUUGCUUGAUAGUGCAGCACUAAGUGGGUGGUAAACUCCAUCUAAAGCUAAAUAAAACCAUGAGACCGAUAGUAAACAAGUACCGUGAGGGAAAGUUGAAAAGAACUCUGAAUAGAGAGUUAAAUAGUACGUGAAACUGCUUAGAGGUUAAGCCCGAUGAACCUGAAUAUCCAUUAUAGAAAAUACAACAUUAUGAAUAUAAUAUUUUAUUAAUAUUAUAGGAAUAGUGUGCAUUUUUUCUAUAUUUGGACAUUGUAAUCUAUUAACACUUAAAUAUAUAUUUAUCAUAGAAUCAUUAAGAUUUAAGUUUAUUCAAAUURAUAUGCUUUAUGCGUAUUAAUGUCGAAUAAAGUCUUAUGAUUUGAUAAAGUGUUAWUAGUUCAAUWAUAUGUAAAGUUVYUUAAAUUUYUUAGRAWKUUKUAAWUGCCWKAWUWWUAAWUWWURWUUUUUCYAUGCUUAUUACAUGCACUUAUACGAUUAACAAUGCGAUAGAUUCAGGAUACCUUCGGGACCCGUCUUGAAACACGGACCAAGGAGUCUAACAUAUGUGCAAGUCAUUGGGAUUUAUAUUAAUUAAACCCAAAGGCAUAAUUAACUUAAAUGUUAUAUAAAUGGGAUAAGUUUUUAAUCUAUUUAUAGAUUAAUAAUACAAUCCCGGGGCGUUCUAUACAGUUAUGUGUAAUAAUAUUUAUAUUAUUUAUACCUCUAACUAGAGCGUACCUUCAGCAUUUAUGCUGUGACCCGAAAGAUGGUGAUCUAUACUUGAUCAGGUUGAAGUCAGGGGAAACCCUGAUGGAAGACCGAAACAGUUCUGACGUGCAAAUCGAUUGUCAGAAUUGAGUAUAGCUGCGUAAGACUCAUCGAACCC
rnacentral:rRNA from 1 species